CGUUAAAUGCCAAUUCUAAGGCGGAACAUUAAUCAAUGAACUGUAAAUAAUCAUACUUCUUAGCCUUGCCUAUCAGAAGCAAAUCAUAAUUGCAUCGACGUUGGUGAAUAACUAAUCAGCAAAGCUUGAAAGUCAUCCAACGGUCUUCCAAUUAUACUCUAAUUUAAGAUCUAUGUACAGUACUCCAAUAACCACGUCAGCAACUUGAAGCGGAUUUCUCGGUUUCGACAGGCUUUUGUAUUUGAAAGGCUUGUGCUUGCUUUUGAUGCGGUGUCCUCGAAAAGAUGGAAGAUGGGAGAGGUCAUGAUGGGUAAAGACUGUUUGAAAGAAUCUCGCUUUGAGAGAAACUGAUAUAUUUCUGGGGAAAGAAAUCAAGCUUGGUAUUGUAAACCACUCAAGGAAAUGCUCAGAGGCUUUGAAGCAAGUUUCUUUUUCGCAAUAUCUUGCGAUACUUCAGUGCAAAAUGAUGAGAACGAGAGAGAGAGAGAGACUGAGACAGAUAAUCCUCCUUCACCAAGUUUGGCUCGUUCUACUUGAGUGAGGCGAGUGGCAAAAAAGUCGUGGAACCAAAUUGACAAACACCGAAUUGUGGGCUAUGCGCCUUGACUUGAACCCGAAUCCAUUCUUCUGGCUUGACUUGGUUGGGUUCAUGACGAAGUGGAACCAGAGAGGAUUGAAAGUCGUUCCACUGAGCUCAGGUGAGUCAGGGCUCGUUUGCAUUCUCUUUCUACUCCCUGAGGGCUUCAAAAAGGAUCCUUUGACUAUGAGGAAUGGAACGAGUGGAACAAUCUAUUGGGACCAUUCUAUGUUUUGGGGAAAGACUGGAUAGAUCCAAAGGGAAGACACGCAUAAGCAUAAAAACUCGUUAAAGGGAAUUUCAUCUCGAACUUUUUUCUCCACCUCCUAACCGAUUAUUGUUGGUUUACCACCGCUCGAGAGAGACCUAGCAGACCAACGACGAAUGGAACGAAAACGAGAGAGAAAGAGAGAAAUGCGGUUUUUGCACCAAACAAGAAUGUGAUCCGUGUUUUGGCUCCUUCCUCGUGUUCUUCCUCGUUCUCCUCCUACAACUCAUACCACUUCCACUCGUCUUUCCCCAUCCCAUCACCGUCGUUUGUUUCUUCUCGGUCCCCCGUUCCAGUUCCGAGUGUGGUGUCCAUGGAUCGUAGGGACAAGGAACGAGAGGGAACGAGGAGGAGGAAGAGGAGGAGAAGAAGAAGGCGAGGGAGAAAAGUAAAAAGGUGGCGCUGCUUCUACGUGCGUUGAGUUCUCAUUUUUGGCUACGGUUGGUGUUGGUGCUCUCCUCAUUGGCACAAGCGCUGUUGCUGGCCUUUAGUGUUCCUCGGAUCCUUCUCGUGUGUAGUUGUGUCUGUUACACGUUGAUAGUGGUCCUAGUACGACAAGUGUUCCAACAAGUAAAGGAAGUUCCAUGUGGGAUUGGGCAUGGGCAUGGCAUGACGAACCACAAGGACGUGCGACGACGAGUAGGGAGGUUGAGGAACGACAAGUUUGAAGAAAAAGUGCUGACGGAUGCUUUUGCGGUGACAUGAGACCGCCCUAUCAGAUUGUGCUUUCAUCGUUAAAUCACGGCCAAGUAGCAAGAAACUAAUUCUGCCCUUCAUUAUCCAAGAGGGUCGCCUCGGAAGGCUCUCGGAAGGCUCUCGGAAGACCACAUGUCUGCUUAUCUGUCUGUCAAAGUGGCGAUCAAAAAUUGAAAGGAGAUUGGUUUUGCCGGUUUAGUGUGUCGGCUGCAUUACCACUUUUCUCUCGCUCUCUCUCUCCGCUUCAUUCCUCAACAAGAAGUCCAGAUGAUUUGGAAUGAAAAAAGAAGAAGAAGGGGCCUUCUCCCCAUGUCCGAGAGCAUGGCGUAUGAUCCAUCUUCCCCUCUCAUAUUCCUCAACCUUCUCGCAUCCACGAGCUGUGAAGACUACUACCACGAACACCACCACUACCACCACCGACAACAGCAUCUUCACCGCCACUACCAUCAUCGGUCUCAUCACAACUGCAAUGAGUGCCCUCACCACUCUGACAAUAGUUAUUGUAGCAGUAGUCAGCCCACUACCCAGAGUACCCAAAGUGGAGACUGCUGAGGGUGCGGUCUUUGUUGAUCCAGUCCCAACCCCGCACCACCAAUCCUUCUUUUCAAGAUCAAGAGCCGUCAAUCCAAACAUUGUUAUUGUUGAUCUUGCACUACCUCGAUCCUACUAGUAGGACGACUAUCGUCGUCGUCGUCGUCGUCAUCAUCAUCAUCAUCUUCCGAGCACUGUUCCUCUACUUUUCCCCCUCUCUUCGUUGUUGUGGCUCGAUUGGCCUGAGGGGCCUUCAAGAACAACCAUCAGUCACUAAGCAGAGACCAAGUUCCCCACCGGUGAAGGGUCCUUCACCCACAUUGUUGUGUUCGCUUACAACAACCAUUUUGAGCAUCGCUUUGAGUGGCCAGGUGGGAACAUCGACCAAGAGUAGUGGAUCUGGGCCUGAGGGACGAAGAGAACCGCCACUAAGGACCCCUCGAACACCGACCAGGAGGAACAGGAGUGAACCAGUAGGACGAGUAGUAGCCAGAGUUGCCAGAGUUCGCAGAGUUCGCAGAGUUCGCACUGCUUGACCAUUGCGAUCCCAGAGACUAUGACAAGAGCUUUUUCAUCUUCGCCUUCUUUCGCAUCAUGGUGCUCCCCUCAUUCUUCUUCUUCUUCUUCGUCCUCGUCUACGUCCUCGUCGUCUACUUGGUCCAUGGGCCGGGUUCUCGUUUUCGUGGUCGUGUUUGUGCUUGCCAUUCAUCAAAUCGAGGCGACUCUCCGUUGUUACGUUUGUGGCGGUCACAGUGGUCGAUCGUGUGAAACCAUCCGUGAGCCUCGGCGGAGGUCACCAUAUGUGAGACCCGAGCCGGUGGCCGCCUCGGACGGAUCCCCGCAAUGGGAGCAAUGUAAUGACCUCAUCAGCAACCAAGGUUGUAUCAAGCAAGUCGUCAAUAAUGUGGUCGUUCUUCGGGCUUGCUGGAUGCAGGCCACCCAAGAGUGCCAGGUGGAUGGCGUGGGAAUGGUAUGUACAUGCACCUCGGACCUGUGCAAUGCGGCCCCCAGGAUUCAGUCCGCACCAGGCGAGGUCUUCAAGCUAGUCGUGCUGUGCCAAGCCACCCUGGCAGUGUUCCUCCUCUUGCGGACUAACCCCAAUGUUUGAGUGCCAUUCCAAAGUGUUCCCCACUCUUGGGAUCUUGGGAUCUCUGGACGUUGGGCGAGAGGAUGAAUGGCCAGGUGGCGAGGGGAACAGCAGCAGGAACAUGCCUUCCCUCGUUAGUGUGAUAUAUCUCAAUUGUGAUAGCCGAAAAGAAGACGGAGAAGGCCGCCCUUUGUGGAUGGCGAAAAGAAGACGAAGAACAACGAGGAGCAGAGGAUCUAGAUUCUAGACCAACCAAGGUUUCAUGUGAUGAUGACAUUGCAGUAAAAACAAAGAAUUAACUCGCGAUGACUGAAGCACCAACCGACCGACCGACCGACUGAACGAACGAACAAACGAACGAACGGCAGACAGGCAGAGCGAAGAAACGAACGAACGGCAAUCAUCGUGGCGUCCUCGAGUCAUUCGCUAUGAGAUGCGAGCUUUUCGUCUCGGGUUCUUUCCCUUGUUCUCGUAUUUGUGAGUAUUCACAGUCGUGACUGUGUGGCCUUGAAUGCCAAAUACUAGUGUGUAUGUGGUAGACAGACACUGCCGAAAUAAGUAAAAGAAGAAGAAAAAAACACGAGGCCAGACGAGACGAGCAAGACGGACUUGGAAUCUUUGUUUCUUCUCCCCUGCACCAAAAUCAUGGAUGGCCUCUUCAGAUUCAAGACUACAACACCGCCAAAUGAAAACAACCAGAACAUUAUCAACCCUCGAGGUGGAAGAAAAGACUAAGAAGAUUACUACUCUGUUUGAUUGCAUUUCCCGUUCUGUUUGUUUAAUGAUCGAAAUAGAGAAACAAAUGCUAUUA